rnacentral:rRNA from 1 species
UACAGAGGUCCCAAGCGUUGUUCGGAUUCACUGGGCGUAAAGGGUGCGUAGGUGGUGAGGUAAGUCGGAUGUGAAAGCUCCGAGCUCAACUCGGAAAUGGCAUUGGAAACUACCUUGCUAGAGGGUUUGAGGGGGGGACUGGAAUACUUGGUGUAGCAGUGAAAUGCGUAGAUAUCAAGUGGAACACCAGUGGCGAAGGCGAGUCCCUGGAAAACUCCUGACACUGAGGCACGAAAGCUAGGGGAGCAAACAGG